ACUGAUUCUCGUACAAUCACUGAAGUUAAGCAUCAUUGAGCCUGGGCAGUACAUAGGUGGGUGAUCACUUGGGAAUACCAGGUGCUGUAA